rnacentral:rRNA from 1 species
UACGUAGGGGGCGAGCGUUGUCCGAAGUUACUGGGCGUAAAGCGCGCGUAGGCGGGAGUAUAAGUGAGAAGUGAAAGGCUGAGGCUCAACCUCAUGCAGUGCUUCUCAUACUGUACUUCUUGAGUGCGGCAGAGAGAAGUGGAAUGGCUGGUGUAGCGGUGAAAUGCGUAGAUAUCAGUCGGAACACCCGUGGCGAAGGCGGCUUCUUGGGCCGAGACUGACGCUGAGGCGCGAAAGCUGGGGGAGCGAACGGGAUUAGAUACCCUGGUAGU